UUAUAAGAGACAGCAGCCGCCACGGUAAUACGGAGGGUGCAAGCGUUAUCCGGAUUUAUUGGGUUUAAAGGGUCCGUAGGCGGACUUAUAAGUCAGUGGUGAAAGCCUGUCGCUUAACGAUAGAACUGCCAUUGAUACUGUAAGUCUUGAGUAUAUUUGAGGUAGCUGGAAUAAGUAGUGUAGCGGUGAAAUGCAUAGAUAUUACUUAGAACACCAAUUGCGAAGGCAGGUUACCAAGAUAUAACUGACGCUGAGGGACGAAAGCGUGGGUAGCGAACAGGAUUAGAUACCCGCGUAGUCCCUGUCUCUUAUAC
rnacentral:rRNA from 1 species